rnacentral:rRNA from 1 species
UGGGGAAUAUUGGACAAUGGGCGCAAGCCUGAUCCAGCCAUGCCGCGUGAGUGAUGAAGGCCCUAGGGUUGUAAAGCUCUUUCACCGGUGAAGAUAAUGACGGUAACCGGAGAAGAAGCCCCGGCUAACUUCGUGCCAGCAGCCGCGGUAAUACGAAGGGGGCUAGCGUUGUUCGGAUUUACUGGGCGUAAAGCGCACGUAGGCGGACUAUUAAGUCAGGGGUGAAAUCCCGGGGCUCAACCCCGGAACUGCCUUUGAUACUGGUAGUCUUGAGUUCGAGAGAGGUGAGUGGAAUUCCGAGUGUAGAGGUGAAAUUCGUGGAUAUUCGGAGGAACACCAGUGGCGAAGGCGGCUCACUGGCUCGAUACUGACGCUGGGGUGCGAAAGCGUGGGGAGCAAACAGG